GAUGAACGCUGGCGGCGUGCCUAAUACAUGCAAGUCGAGCGAACAGACGAGGAGCUUGCUCCUCUGACGUUAGCGGCGGAAGGGUGAGUAACACGUGGAUAACCUACCUAUAAGACUGGGAUAACUUCGGGAAACCGGAGCUAAUACCGGAUAAUAUAUUGAACCGCAUGGUUCAAUAGUGAAAGACGGUUUUGCUGUCUCUUAUAGAUGGAUCCGCGCCGCAUUAGCUAGUUGGUAAGGUAACGGCUUACCAAGGCAACGAUGCGUAGCCGACCUGAGAGGGUGAUCGGCCACACUGGAACUGAGACACGGUCCAGACUCCUACGGGAGGCAGCAGUAGGGAACCUUCCGCAAUGGGCGAAAGCUGGCCGGAGCAACGCCGCGUGAUUGAUGAAGGUCUUCGGAUCGUAAACCUUUGUUAUUAGGGAAGAACAAAUGUGUAAGUAACUAUGCACGUCUUGACGGUACCUAAUCAGAAAGCCACGGCUAACUACGUG
rnacentral:rRNA from 1 species